ensembl:piRNA 21ur-6207 ncRNA
UAGGGUUGAUGAGUUAAGUUU